UACGUAGGGUGCAAGCGUUGUCCGGAAUUAUUGGGCGUAAAGAGCUCGUAGGCGGUUUGUUGCGUCGGCUGUGAAAUCCCGAGGCUCAACCUCGGGUCUGCAGUCGAUACGAGCAAACUAGAGUGUUGCAGGGGAGACUGGAAUUCCUGGUGUAGCGGUGAAAUGCGCAGAUAUCAGGAGGAACACCGGUGGCGAAGGCGGGUCUCUGGGCAACAACUGACGCUGAUGCGCGAAAGCUAGGGGAGCGAACGGG
rnacentral:rRNA from 1 species